rnacentral:lncRNA from 1 species
CUACUCAGGAGGCUGAGGCAGGAGAAUGGCGUGAACCCGGGAGGCGGAGCUUGCAGUGAGCCGAGAUUGCGUCACCGCACUCCAGCCUGGGCGACAGAGCGAGACUCCGUCUCAAAAAAAAUGACUGGACAAAAAACACUCUGAUGCAAACAGGCAAGAAACCCAGCAAGGCCUAUCUGGAUUCUCCUUGGCCUGUCUGCAGCAUUCAUUCCUUCUGGGUAUGGAACAGGACCCUCUGGAAUGGGGGCUGUGGCCUACAACAGUUAAACAAGUGAACUAAAGGGCUCCCAAAAUCUCUCCUGCAGCAUUUUCCUUGAGAAGGAGGAAGGUUUGCAUCUCUAGACGGAGUUUCUCCAUUUUGGCCAGUUUGGUGUCGACCUCCCGGGCUUAAGCGAUCCACCCACCUCAGCCUCCCAAAGUGUUGGGAUUACAGGCGUGAGCCACUGUAUCCAGCUUGUGAU